rnacentral:rRNA from 1 species
GGGUUGUGAGGUUAAGCGACUAAGCGUACACGGUGGAUGCCCUGGCAGUCAGAGGCGAUGAAGGGCGUGCUAAUCUGCGAUAAGCGCCGGUAAGGUGAUAUGAACCGUUAUAACCGGCGAUACCCGAAUGGGGAAACCCAGUGUGACUCGUCACACUAUCAUUAACUGAAUCCAUAGGUUAAUGAGGCGAACCGGGGGAACUGAAACAUCUAAGUACCCCGAGGAAAAGAAAUCAACCGAGAUUCCCCCAGUAGCGGCGAGCGAACGGGGAGGAGCCCAGAGCCUGAAUCAGCAUGUGUGUUAGUGGAAGCGUCUGGAAAGGCGCGCGAUACAGGGUGACAGCCCCGUACACAAAAGCGCAUGUGCUGUGAGCUCGAUGAGUAGGGCGGGACACGUGGUAUCCUGUCUGAAUAUGGGGGGACCAUCCUCCAAGGCUAAAUACUCCUGACUGACCGAUAGUGAACCAGUACCGUGAGGGAAAGGCGAAAAGAACCCCGGCGAGGGGAGUGAAAAAGAACCUGAAACCGUGUACGUACAAGCAGUGGGAGCACCCUUCGGGGUGUGACUGCGUACCUUUUGUAUAAUGGGUCAGCGACUUAUAUUCUGUAGCAAGGUUAACCGUAUAGGGGAGCCGUAGGGAAACCGAGUCUUAAUUGGGCGUUAAGUUGCAGGGUAUAGACCCGAAACCCGGUGAUCUAGCCAUGGGCAGGUUGAAGGUUGGGUAACACUAACUGGAGGACCGAACCGACUAAUGUUGAAAAAUUAGCGGAUGACCUGUGGCUGGGGGUGAAAGGCCAAUCAAACCGGGAGAUAGCUGGUUCUCCCCGAAAGCUAUUUAGGUAGCGCCUCGUGAAUUCAUCUCCGGGGGUAGAGCACUGUUUCGGCUAGGGGGCCAUCCCGGCUUACCAACCCGAUGCAAACUGCGAAUACCGGAGAAUGUUAUCACGGGAGACACACGGCGGGUGCUAACGUCCGUCGUGAAGAGGGAAACAACCCAGACCGCCAGCUAAGGUCCCAAAGUCAUGGUUAAGUGGGAAACGAUGUGGGAAGGCCCAGACAGCCAGGAUGUUGGCUUAGAAGCAGCCAUCAUUUAAAGAAAGCGUAAUAGCUCACUGGUCGAGUCGGCCUGCGCGGAAGAUGUAACGGGGCUAAACCAUGCACCGAAGCUGCGGCAGCGACGCUUAUGCGUUGUUGGGUAGGGGAGCGUUCUGUAAGCCUGUGAAGGUGUGUCGUGAGGCAUGCUGGAGGUAUCAGAAGUGCGAAUGCUGACAUAAGUAACGAUAAAGCGGGUGAAAAGCCCGCUCGCCGGAAGACCAAGGGUUCCUGUCCAACGUUAAUCGGGGCAGGGUGAGUCGACCCCUAAGGCGAGGCCGAAAGGCGUAGUCGAUGGGAAACGGGUUAAUAUUCCCGUACUUGGUGUUACUGCGAAGGGGGGACGGAGAAGGCUAUGUUGGCCGGGCGACGGUUGUCCCGGUUUAAGCGUGUAGGUGUGUGUUCCAGGUAAAUCCGGUUCACUUUAACACUGAGGCGUGACGACGAGGCACUACGGUGCUGAAGCAACAAAUGCCCUGCUUCCAGGAAAAGCCUCUAAGCAUCAGGUAACAUCAAAUCGUACCCCAAACCGACACAGGUGGUCAGGUAGAGAAUACCAAGGCGCUUGAGAGAACUCGGGUGAAGGAACUAGGCAAAAUGGUGCCGUAACUUCGGGAGAAGGCACGCUGACACGUAGGUGAAGUGAUUUACUCACGGAGCUGAAGUCAGUCGAAGAUACCAGCUGGCUGCAACUGUUUAUUAAAAACACAGCACUGUGCAAACACGAAAGUGGACGUAUACGGUGUGACGCCUGCCCGGUGCCGGAAGGUUAAUUGAUGGGGUCAGCGCAAGCGAAGCUCCUGAUCGAAGCCCCGGUAAACGGCGGCCGUAACUAUAACGGUCCUAAGGUAGCGAAAUUCCUUGUCGGGUAAGUUCCGACCUGCACGAAUGGCGUAAUGAUGGCCAGGCUGUCUCCACCCGAGACUCAGUGAAAUUGAACUCGCUGUGAAGAUGCAGUGUACCCGCGGCAAGACGGAAAGACCCCGUGAACCUUUACUAUAGCUUGACACUGAACAUUGAGCCUUGAUGUGUAGGAUAGGUGGGAGGCUUUGAAGCGUGGACGCCAGUCUGCGUGGAGCCGACCUUGAAAUACCACCCUUUAAUGUUUGAUGUUCUAACGUGGACCCGUAAUCCGGGUUGCGGACAGUGUCUGGUGGGUAGUUUGACUGGGGCGGUCUCCUCCUAAAGAGUAACGGAGGAGCACGAAGGUUGGCUAAUCCUGGUCGGACAUCAGGAGGUUAGUGCAAUGGCAUAAGCCAGCUUGACUGCGAGCGUGACGGCGCGAGCAGGUGCGAAAGCAGGUCAUAGUGAUCCGGUGGUUCUGAAUGGAAGGGCCAUCGCUCAACGGAUAAAAGGUACUCCGGGGAUAACAGGCUGAUACCGCCCAAGAGUUCAUAUCGACGGCGGUGUUUGGCACCUCGAUGUCGGCUCAUCACAUCCUGGGGCUGAAGUAGGUCCCAAGGGUAUGGCUGUUCGCCAUUUAAAGUGGUACGCGAGCUGGGUUUAGAACGUCGUGAGACAGUUCGGUCCCUAUCUGCCGUGGGCGCUGGAGAACUGAGGGGGGCUGCUCCUAGUACGAGAGGACCGGAGUGGACGCAUCACUGGUGUUCGGGUUGUCAUGCCAAUGGCACUGCCCGGUAGCUAAAUGCGGAAGAGAUAAGUGCUGAAAGCAUCUAAGCACGAAACUUGCCCCGAGAUGAGUUCUCCCUGAGACUUAGAGUCUCCUGAAGGAACGUUGAAGACGACGACGUUGAUAGGCCGGGUGUGUAAGCGCAGCGAUGCGUUGAGCUAACCGGUACUAAUGAACCGUGAGGCUUAACCUUACAACGCCGAAG